UACGUAGGGUGCGAGCGUUAACCGGAAUUACUGGGCGUAAAGCGUGCGCAGGCGGUUUUUUAAGACAGGCGUGAAAUCCCCGGGCUUAACCUGGGAACUGCGUUUGUGACUGGAAGGCUAGAGUAUGGCAGAGGGGGGUGGAAUUCCACGUGUAGCAGUGAAAUGCGUAGAGAUGUGGAGGAACACCGAUGGCGAAGGCAGCCCCCUGGGCCAAUACUGACGCUCAUGCACGAAAGCGUGGGGAGCAAACAGG
rnacentral:rRNA from 1 species